rnacentral:rRNA from 1 species
AGAGUUUGAUCAUGGCUCAGGACGAACGCUGGCGGCGUGCCUAAUGCAUGCAAGUCGAGCGGGCUACGAUCUUCGGAUUGUAGCUUAGCGGCGAACGGGUGAGUAACACGUAGGUGAUCUACCCUUCAGAGGAGGACAACCUCAGGAAACUGAGGCUAAACCUUCAUACGUUCACUGGUAGGGAUACUGGUGAAGAAAGAGUUACCCCUAGAGGGUAGCUGCUGAAGGAUGAGCCUGCGGCCCAUCAGGUAGUUGGUGAGGUAACGGCUCACCAAGCCGAAGACGGGUAACCGGUCUGAGAGGAUGUCCGGUCACACUGGGACUGAGACACGGCCCAGACUCCUACGGGAGGCAGCAGCAGGGAAUCUUGGGCAAUGGGCGAAAGCCUGACCCAGCGACGCCGCGUGGAGGAAGAAGUCCUUCGGGGCGUAAACUCCUGGACUGGGGGACGAGGAAGGACGGUACCCCAGUAGAAAGGGACGGCUAACUACGUGCCAGCAGCCGCGGUAAAACGUAGGUCCCGAGCGUUGUUCGGAUUCACUGGGUGUAAAGGGCGCGUAGGUGGUUGUCUGUGUCUCAUGUGAAAACUCAGGGCUCAACUCUGAGAUUGCGUGGGAAACUAGGCAGCUAGAGGACGGUAGAGGGGAGUGGAAUUCCCGGUGUAGCGGUAAAAUGCGUAGAUAUCGGGAGGAACACCGGUGGCGAAGGCGGCUCUCUGGGCCGAUCCUGACGCUGAGGCGCGAAAGCUAGGGGAGCGAACCGGAUUAGAUACCCGGGUAGUCCUAGCCGUAAACGAUGGGUGCUAGGUGUUGGGGGGUAAAGACCCUUCAGUGCCGAAGCCAACGCGAUAAGCAUCCCACCUGGGGAGUACGGCCGCAAGGUUGAAACUUAAAUGAAUUGACGG